UUCAGCUUAUUGAGUUAAAAAUUCCCUUCAUUACAUGUUACCUUAUCUUUAGAAUAUUGGAGUAGAGAAUGGUCGAGUAAUCAAACAGAGAAAUAAAGAAGAUGCUGAAAUAGAGAAGAAGAGAGAAUUAGAUUAAUUAGAGCUGUGAAGGAGCAUGGGCCGUGUCAAUUAGAGCUGUGAAGGAGCAUGGACUGUGCACAUUGAGCAUGGGUUGUUUAGUACAUUCAUGAAAAAUGGAAUUCCGAGCAAUGUGCAGUGCUGCUUGACUGUCGAAAUGAAUCGGGACUGGCAAAGGUGGUGCAACUGAAAGGCCAGUGAGAAGGCGAGUCAACCAAGUGAUUUCAGUAGUGACUCAUCGAAUAGAUCUAUAUUCCGCCUCUGCGGAAGAUAGGGAUAUGAAAACUUAUUUCUUUGACUUCCAAGAGAUAGGGGACCCUCCCAAGCUUAUGAAAAAAUCACUAACAGAAUGACGAGUCGGGAAAAGAUACCCAAUCAGCAUCGCAAAAAGCAAGAAGAGAAAGUGAAGGAGAUGAGUUUAUGAGAAGACCUUGAUUGGGAUUUUCUUUGAGGUAACGAAGAACACGAAAAGCAUCUGAAAAAUGGGCAAGUCUAGGACUUUACAUAUGCUGGCUAAGUAUCAAUACCGCGAAAGAAAGAUUAGGGCGAGUAUAUUUCAAGUAGUUCAACUUGCCCACGAGUCGCCUGUAAGUAGUGGGAUCAUCGAGGAGAUGUCUAGAAUCAAUCCCUAACUUGAUUGAGGGAUCCAAAGGUGAGGAAACCUUGGUGAUAUGGGAACAAUCAUAUUCAGAGAGGAGAUCAAGGGUGAACUUUCGUUGACUCAUAAUAGAGUUCAGUAGCCAUGAAGUCACCAUAUCAUUAUAUCUACUCCAUGCUUGAUAUUGUGAUGAAUUUGGUUCUGGAAUUUUGCAGGUACCAUCUAUAAACCCCAACUUAUUUUUGGCUGACAGAGCUAUGAGGAUGGUUCUUCUCCAUUCCAGAAAACCUCUUCCGUCAAAGGUGAAGUUCACUAAGCUUAUGCCUGGUGAAUCUAAGAAAUGAAAAUACAAGGGGUGACUGGCAUCAAUUUGAUUCUCAUUUCCAGAUUGAGUUUCAUUUUGUGUAACAAUGGUGUUGUAUCCUAUUGUAACAAUGAAGGAAGAACUGGAAGAUGAUGAAAAUACUAGAUCAGAAAAAAAAAUUCUAUUGCUCUGAUACUAUGUAAGAAAUUUGAAGAUGAGAGAUUUUUGAGCAAAUUUUUUGUAUUUAUUUCUUUGCACUCUUGCUGCUUUAUACAAGUUUUGUACAUAAAAUAAAUGAAAA